CCUGACGACCAUAGCGAGGUGGUACCACCCCUUCCCAUCCCGAACAGGACCGUGAAACGCCUUUGCGCCGAUGAUAGUGACUGUCGUGAAAGUAGGGCAUCGUCAGGC
rnacentral:rRNA from 1 species